CCAAGAUCAGCAGAAAAUCCCCACGCUGGGGGCAGCCAGGCACCGCUAGCCCCAGAGGCAGGGCAGCAACAUGAGAGAAAACGUGGGCCGUUCAGAAACGGAAAUAGCCCUUUAAUGCAGGUUUGGGAGCAGAGAGGGGCUGGGCUGCCCGGGGAGGAGCAGGGGGACAAGCAGUGGUGAUGAAGCCGUGUCCACCUAGGACUCCCCGGGACUGUCCAGGUCUCCGCAGCUCUCAGCUCCAGAACGAACACAACACACAGAGACACACAGAGGAAUGAGAACGUAGACAGGAGGCUGGCACGGAGGCCUCGCUCGGCCACGGUUCAGUCCAGACCUUACCAACGGUGACAACCUUCCCUGGGCCCGGCUGCCACAGGCCCGCCCUGUACCAAGUUCCCCAUGGUCAACAGGCAUCAGCUUGGGCCUGAGCAGAGAAGAAGUCCUCGGGCAGCUCUCCCAGGAGCCCAUCCAAGUCGUCUGCACAGGGGAGGAUGAAACGUGUGCAUCAGCCAUCGCUUGCACAGAGACAGGGAAUUGACUCCCUGCACUGGCAGGCGAUGCACCGUGCCCUGGAUCUCUCCUGCGCACAAGGGCAAACAGGACCCAUUAGCCACAGGCAGCGAUCGCUGUGAGCCCGGGAGGAGCUGCAGAGAGCUGCAGCCCACAGCCCGAGCCAGGCACAAGCACAGAUGUGCGGAUACAGUAUCCCCUGGGAUGGCAGAGCACACAGGACACCAGAGCAAGGGCUCUCUCUUGUCACCCCCAAAGAACGCCUACCAGUUGGGUCCUUGAACACGGCGCCAGCAUCAACAGUGGUCUUGGUCAGGGUCUUGAUCAUUACGGCCAUGCUGGGGACCUUGUUCUUCGGGAGCUGCUUCAAGGCUGCCUGCACACACAGACCCCCGUCACGCCAACAUCCCCGAGGACAACCCAGCUUUGCCAGAGCCCCGUGAGCUGGAGUUUGGGGAGUCGAAACAAAAAUCUCCUCCAGAUGUUUCCCAGCGUGCUUAAGGAAGACAGAGACACGUCACAUACGGCUGCUGCUCCACAACGAAAUACCAGAUCCAGGGCAUGCUCCGAGGCAGUCCCUGGGUUUUGCAUCUCUUCGGAAGCCUAAAGCCACCAGGAGCGCAGGAAACUCAGCACUGCAGGAGCAGGGCCAUUCGCCAGCUCUCAAAGCUUGCGAUAAGGUAGGACCCUGAUGGCAGCAGCCUUCCUGCUCUGGGAGAGCAACCAGCCCCUUUCCUGCCUGGAGGGGGACAAGCCAGGCUGGAGCCCAGCUGUGUAGGGACCAAGAGAUGGGAACCACAACCCCAACUGCUCCUUCAGACAGCUCCCGCCCCCCCUGCACCUACCUGCUGCUGGGGCAGGAUCCCGGCAGGCCCUGGGAACCGGCGAGUCUUUCCCUGCACUGGGACGCGGGGGGCGGCUCGGGGCGCUUUGCUGGCCGCCGUGACCAGCUGCACAAGGUGGUUGGUGACGACCGGUGUCUGGAGGGUGGCCUCCCGGGGCGGCUGCCUCGGUGGGGGCUCCACGCAACUCAUCAAGGGCUGCGGGUUCGCCGGGAGCCUGUGGGGCGGCCGCCAGCCGCUGCCGGGCAGCCUGGGCGCAGGGCAGCUCUGCCGGGGCACCUGCGGCAUCGGGGACCGGGCGUUGCUGCUCUGGGGUGCACGUGGCGUCACGGAGGAGGCGUUUACUCCCGGCUGGCAGGGGGAGGCUUGAAAAGGUCUCGGGGUUUGGCCCCUGGGAGAGGGGACAGGGCCGUAGGAGGCACCUGGAUUUAGCAGGGGCGCAGGCCGGGAGGAGCAGGCACCAGCCGCGCUGGGCCGCAGCGCCAGCUUGGGAGCAGCAUCCGCCAGCGGCGACGGCAGCGGUUCCUGCCCACUCUUGGCCGGGGCGGCCCGCGACCCCCCAGGCUGCAGGGGGCCAGGAGAAGCCAGCUCCUCUCCCACUCGUGGCUUUUUGCAAGGUGCCCGUUCCUGGCUGCUCUCCUCCCUGGUGCGCAGCCCGGGGGGAAUCUCCCGCCACGUGGGACCCGCACGGGCAUCGCCAGCCUCGACCGGCAGGUCAGGCACCUCCAGCUCCAUGCAGGCGGCCAGGAAGAGGUCGUUGUCCAGCUCGUCCUCGGCGGCCGCCCCCCAGGCUGGGGGGCCGCCCGGCGCUGAGCCACAGGCUGGCGUGGAAACGCUGGCAUCGCUUGGUCGGCACGGGGCACCCACAGACGCCGAAGGGGAGCCCAGAUCCCGCGAGCCCCCAGCUUGGUCGUCCUGCCUGGAGAGGGGCCUGAGGCCGGAGGGUUUGCCGGGGGGGCGACGGAGCUGGUGCAGGGGCUGCAGGCCGGAGCUGGGGGCCGACACG